GUCGUCUUUGGAAAUUAUUACAAAGUUCAGCUGGAAGUCUCCUUCUCCCUGUGGACCUUCCCCAAUUCCACUGGCUGCCCUCCUCAAGGACCCCUGUUCUCCAGGGCCGAUGUAUGUUUGGAGAUGGAUUUCCCCCUCUCACACUUCAGGCACUCAGUUUUUUGGCAGUCUCAUGGAGUUUUCAGUGGCAAGCCGCUUAUUUCAAAUGGGAUUUGGAAAGGAUUCCGUGAUGGUUAAUAUUGAGUGUCAACUUGAUUGGAUUGAAGGAUGCAAAGUAUUGUUCCUGGGUGUGUCUGUGAGGGUGUCACCAAAGGAGAUGAACAUUUGAAUCAGUGAGCUGGGAGACACAAACCCAUACUCAAUCUUGGGGGACACCAUCUAAUCAGCUGCCAGUGCAACUAGGAUAAAAUCAGGCAGAGAAAUUUGGAAAGACUAGACUGGCUGAGUCUUCUGGCCUUCAUCUUUCUCCCAUGCUAGAUGCUUCCUGACCUCGAAUAUCAGACUCCAAGUUCUUUAGCUUUUGGACUCUUGGACCUUUGGCCACAGACGGAAGGCUGCACUUUUGAAGUUUUGGGACUUGGACUGGCUUCCUUGCUCCUCAGCUUACAGAUGGCCUAUUGUGGGACUUCACCUUGUGAUUGUGAUUUCAAACCUUCUGGGUUUCUUCCCAGCGCUAAAUCCUGUCGACUGGAUUCACUAGGAUGAAUAGAGAAAGAAGUGUUACAUUUUAAGAUAAUUUCUUUUCUAAACACACAGAAAGGUGACCCAAGUCUGGAUGUAAAUGUGUUUUUAGGCAACUUCCACGUGGAAAGAGGUACUCAUCAAGUUUAGCUGAAUAGUCUUGUGAUUCACAGCUUGUCUUUUGAGAAGAGUGGAGGAAAUCGUGUCAUUUAUCAUGGGUAAUUCCAGUAUGGCUCACACUAUCAAUCUCUCUGACAAUCUCCUCAACAACUCGAAGACCAAUCUGUGGCUGGAAACUGUCCAGGUGAUAAGCAUCAGGAUGCUGUGGGCCAGGCCUGCUACAACACCUGCUCUAAAGUCAGAUGUACCAUCUGCAGUGAAUGUAACCCAACUUAUGAAGAGGAAUCCAACAGUGUAACAAUGUUACAAUAUGCACGUAAGAAGGGACUUAGUGAUGUCCCCAGUGGGUUCACCUCUCUCUUUGAACUGAGCAAUUUUAUGAUUAUAGGAACAACUGUUUUCUUCUUUCAUAACAUGAGUAAAAAAGCCUGAUCAACUUCUGGUGGUAUAAAAUAUUCAGAUUCUUAGUAAAUAAGAAGUUUAGAGAUGGAAAUAAAUGCUUUAUGGAUUUGUUGUCUCAGCUAGACACAGGCUUCGAGAAUUUAGAAUAUUUUUCUUUAAUAUUCACUAUCUGAAAAAUAAAUAAGAAUGGAUUUUUAGUUUUAAA
rnacentral:lncRNA from 1 species